GGGUGUAUAGCUUAGUGGCUAAAAGCAAUAAACUUUUAAUUUAUAGACCUUAGGUUCGAAUCCUAAUACACUCA
rnacentral:tRNA from 1 species